ACACGACCGUACCGCAAACCGACACUGGUGCGCGAGAUGAGUAUUCUAAGGCGCUUGAGAGAACUCAGGAGAAGGAACUCGGCAAAUUGACACCGUAACUUCGGAAGAAGGUGUGCCUUUAGUAGGUGAAGUCCCUCGCGGAUGGAGCCCAAUGAGGUUGCAAAAAAUCGGUGGCUGCGACUGUUUAUUAAAAACACAGCACUCUGCAAACACGAAAGUGGACGUAUAGGGUGUGACGCCUGCCCGGUGCUGGAAGAUUAAAUGAUGGGGUGCAAGCUCUUGAUUGAAGUCCCAGUAAACGGCGGCCGUAACAAUAACGGUCCUAAGGUAGCGAAAUUCCUUGUCGGGUAAGUUCCGACCUGCACGAAUGGCGUAACGAUGGCCACACUGUCUCCUCCUGAGACUCAGCGAAGUUGAAAUGUUUGUGAUGAUGCAAUCUCCCCGCGGAAAGACGGAAAGACCCCAUGAACCUUUACUGUAGCUUUGUAUUGGACUUUGAACAGAUCUGUGUAGGAUAGGUGGGAGGCUUUGAAGCAGGGUCGCUAGAUCUUGUGGAGCCAACGUUGAAAUACCACCCUGGUGUGUUUGAGGUUCUAACCUAGGCCCGUAAUCCGGGUUGGGGACAGUGCAUGGUAGGCAGUUUGACUGGGGCGGUCUCCUCCCAAAGUGUAACGGAGGAGUUCGAAGGUACGCUAGUUACGGUCGGACAUCGUGACGAUAGUGCAAUGGCAUAAGCGUGCUUAACUGCGAGACUGACAAGUCGAGCAGAUGCGAAAGCAGGACAUAGUGAUCCGGUGGUUCUGUAUGGAAGGGCCAUCGCUCAACGGAUAAAAGGUACUCUGGGGAUAACAGGCUGAUACCGCCCAAGAGUUCAUAUCGACGGCGGUGUUUGGCACCUCGAUGUUGGCUCAUCUCAUCCUGGGGCUGUAGCCGGUCCCAAGGGUAUGGCUGUUCGCCAUUUAAAGAGGUACGUGAGCUGGGUUUAAAACGUCGUGAGACAGUUUGGUCCCUAUCUUCCGUGGGCGCUGCAGAUUUGAGGAAGCCUGCUCCUAGUACGAGAGGACCGGAGUGGACGCACCUCUGGUGUAUCGGUUGUCACGCCAGUGGCAUUGCCGAGUAGCUAUGUGCGGAAGAGAUAACCGCUGAAAGCAUCUAAGCGGGAAACUCGUUUCAAGAUGAGAUCUGCCGGGGCCUUGAGCCCCCUGAAGAGUCGUUCAAGACCAGGACGUUGAUAGGUCGGGUGUGGAAGCGCAGUAAUGCGUUAAGCUAACCGAUACUAAUUGCUCGUGCGGCUUGACC
rnacentral:rRNA from 1 species